AUGCAAGUACACAAAAUUCGCAGCCAAGACAAACAUUUCAUUUUCACCAUAAUAAAAUCACAGUUUCACAAAAGAACCAACAAUCAGAAUCGGGAAAUACAUAUUAAGCCCAAUACAGAAAGUCAAGAAGGCCUGUUAAGCAAAACUCGAUCCAAGAACACAAGGAAAACCCUAUCUCUAUCAGUAUUUUAG